AUCUGAAGGGAUUUGAGAAAGAAGUAGCUUUCCCUUGCCCACCGUGUAGAGGCAGAGCGGGGGAGAUAGGAUCUCUCCCCCUGCGAUCAGGUCAGUCAGAUAGGCAGCGGCUCUGUCAAUCUUCCGGGUGAGAGGAGGCCGUGCCUCCAAACCCUGCUUUGGAGUGACACCACCAAAGAUAGCUCCUCUAGUAUCUUUGGACACCAGGCUCACUCCGCCUUCAUUGAUAAGGGGUUAGAGCAGUUUUGCAGCGGUAUAAAGCAAAGAUCUGUGGUAUAAAGUACUGUCAAUUGCGAAGCACUGCGGCGCGGAUGUGAGGUCGGAGCUCAUCCGUGUGACACAAGGCAGCCACACUAGCUCGCCGUUACAUUCUGGUAAAUCCCGCAUCCCUUUUUGCACGAUGUUGUUUCCUGCUCGAAAUACUGGAAUCUGUGGCGCAAAACGAACCGACCCCCCACCCUAAAGUGUAGGUCGAGGUGUGUGAGGAUUGGGGCUGGAUGUGCUAUUUGCAAAUACAAAAAACCCGAGCUGAAUUUCUGGUGUACAUUGAACAUGUUUGGACUCCUCACCUCGAAUCUGCAUUGUUGAUGACUUCGAGUCUUUCAAAUCUGCAAACGUUUGUUAAUGCACCUGCAAGACUUGUGCAUUGUUGGUUUUAAAAAUUUACCGCGAGGAGGAUACGUGGAUUGAUUAUGCAUUGGAGCAUAGCAACCUUCCAGCAUGGAUCAAGCUGCACGACAAAUGUCUCUUGCCAUCUCCCUACAGCGUCCCAUCUUCAUACUGCUUAUGCUGGUGACAGUGUUUAUGCUGUAUAUAAGCUUUCCAAAUGUGAAGUUCAAUAUAAAUCUAAUUUCUGGAUCAGACUCGCACUGGAUCAGAUAUCCGUCUCCAAAGGUUUAUUCCACAAUGCAGCUAGCUGGUCAGAAGACUGAUUGGAUACACAAACUGGUACAAUUUGGCUAUCUGAAUCACAGUUUCAGCCCUGAGGAGAGAUCGGAGGGAACAAUGCUGAUGAAUAUGAUUGGGUGGCCAAGGCCUCCCAUUUCCAAGGUGCCCCUUUUGAAGAGCAGCGACCCAUCGGGUGUUCACUUUGUUAUUUUAGAUUCUGGGAAGACUUUCUAUGUCGGCGAUCAAAUGCAAGUGAUGCUGCGUAUGUUUGAUUUUGAAGGAAAUCCGAAACAAUAUGGGGGCGAUUAUAUCCAAGCACGGAUCCACACCCCAGAGUUAAAGGCCGGCUCAGCAGGAACGGUCAUAGAUAACCAAAAUGGAUUUUAUUAUAUAAAUUUUACUUUACUUUGGCCGGGGAAAGUCAAAGUGUCGGUUACCUUGGUUCAUCCCAGUGAAGGGGUCCAAGUGCUUCACAGACUACGGGAGGAGCGGCCAGAUAGAGUGAACUUUAAAAGUGCCUUCAAAUUCGGGUCUAUCUCGGAGACCACCGUGUGCAAUCUUUACUUGUCUCCCACAAAGCCACUCUGCAACUUUACAGAUCUCAGGACUGGGGAGCCCUGGUUCUGUUACAAACCAGAGAAACUUCCCUGCACUUCUCGUAUCAACCAUGCGAAAGGAGCAUAUGUGAAAGGCCUUUUAAAUGGAGAUGAGAUUAGUUUAUUCAGAAGGGGAUCCAACCUCAAGCAACCUAUGUUACCCAAUAGCUUGGGUUAUAUAACAGUAGAGCCUUCACCUCAUGCAGUUGGAGUUUCCAAAGAAUGUGUCCGAGGAAUGCCAUUGCUGUCACCGUCUGGCUAUUAUUACAAGGACCUGUGGAAUCCAAUUACCUGCAAUAUUCGUCGCUUUGAGACCUCUAAAAAAAUUACAGACUGUCUUCGUGGGAAAAAGGUUUAUUUAUUUGGAGACUCGACUAUACGUCAGUGGUUUGAAUAUUUGACAAUGUUUGUGCCAGGUCUCAGGAAAUUGGAUCUUGGCAACUUGGAGAAGAUUGGCCCUCACCUGGCAGUGGACACGAAAAACAACAUCAUUGUGAAAUACUGUCCCCAUGGCCCACCCAUCCGAUUCACCACCAUAUCGAGCCCGGACCUGCGCUACAUUGCAAACGAGCUGGAUGGAAUUAAAGGAGGAAAAGACACCGUUGUAGGCAUCACCUUAUGGUCCCAUUUCAGUACCUUCCCCAUUGAAGUGUAUAUCCGAAGAUUGCAGAAUAUCCGGAGAUCCAUUUUGCAACUGCUGGGCAGGAAUUCGGAUACGGUGGUUGUGCUGAGGACUGCUAACCCCCAGGCCCUUCCAGGAGAAGUUAGUCUCUACAACAGCGACUGGUUCUCCUAUCAGCAUGACACCGUGAUGAGGAAAAUGUUCACGGGCAUCAACGUGGCAUUUGUGGAUGCAUGGGAAAUGACAGUAGCCCACUACCUGCCUCACGAGCUGCACCCCAAAACUGUUAUUAUAAAGAAUCAAAUGGAUGUGUUUCUUUCACAUGUCUGUCCUGCUAGAAAGAAAUGAUUUUUUGCACUUGGGUUAAGCCAAGAAGUCACAUGAUCCCGCCACCAGUCACACUUUCUGCUUUCUGCAGAGACCGCUCUCGUUGUAACUCCCUGGUCUGCUCAUCCCCUCCCCUCCAUGUUCCCUUCAACUUCCAUGUUCCGUUUACUUUCCCUUCCAACCGUAAGGAGGCGUAAGAUCUGACCCUUGAAGUCCUCCCCCUCCCCAUCCAGGGACCUAAUAAGCCCUUCCAAGUGAGAUGGGUAUUCACCUGGAACUCAUCCAAUACACUACUACAUGUGCUGCUCAUGCUGUGGCUUUGUCUACAUCGGCGAACCCAAGUGUGGUCUAUUGUGACCAAUUCGUGGAGCAUCUGUCCCCUCUCUCCCUCUCUCCCUCUC